UAGGGAAUCUUCCACAAUGGGCGCAAGCCUGAUGGAGCAACACCGCGUGAGUGAAGAAGGGUUUCGGCUCGUAAAACUCUGUUGUUGAAGAAGAACGUGCGUGAGAGUAACUGUUCACGCAGUGACGGUAUUCAACCAGAAAGUCACGGCUAACUACGUGCCAC
rnacentral:rRNA from 1 species